rnacentral:rRNA from 1 species
GUCCACGCCCUAAACGAUGAAUACUCGCUGUUAGCGAUAUACAGUUAGCGGCUAAGCGAAAGCGUUAAGUAUUCCACCUGGGGAGUACGCCCGCAAGGGUGAAACUCAAAGGAAUUGACGGGGGCCCGCACAAGCGGAGGAGCAUGUGGUUUAAUUCGAUGAUACGCGAGGAACCUUACCCGGGCUUGAAAGUUAGUGAACUUACCAGAGAUGGUAGGGUCCGCAAGGACACGAAACUAGGUGCUGCAUGGCUGUCGU